CUUCCUGGGGUUCUAAGGUAGCAGCUCUUCUCAUUCUCCUGAACAUCUUCUUCUUCUCUUGUGUCUCAUGUAAUGGGGUUCCAUGCCCCCCCAGUACGCCUCCAGCUCCCACUGUCCCAAAGUCUCCUCCGAAGAAACCAGCUCCCACUGUCCCAACGCCUCCUCCGAAGAAAUCAGCUAAGUGCCCAAAAGAUACCCUUAAGUUUGGGGCGUGUGCCAACUGGCUAGGAUUGGUGGGGGAGGUUGUUGGGACUCCACCUAGCAGCAAAUGUUGUGCACUGGUGGCGGGUCUGGCUGAUCUUGAAGCUGCAUUGUGCUUUUGCACUGCAAUUAAGGCCAAUGUGUUGGGGGCUAUCA
rnacentral:lncRNA from 1 species